rnacentral:lncRNA from 1 species
AUGGUUUUGGGGUUGUGGGCCAAGGCUUGGAGGUGGGUUGUAGUUUUACCUUCGUCCUCUCUUAAAUCUUUAGCCCUUCCCUCACCCUUUCUUCUCUCUGUUCCUCCGCUUCUCUCUUUCCUUCCCUCACUCUUUCCUCUCUCUGUUCCUCCGCUUCUCUCUUCCCUUCCCUCACUCUUUCCUCUCUCUGUUCCUGCGCUUCUCUGUUCCUCCGCUUCUCUCUUUCCUCUCUCUGUUCCUCCGCUUCUCUGUUCCUCCGCUUCUCUCUUUCCUCUCUCUGUUCCGCUCCUCUCUUCCCUUCCCUUACUCUUUCCUCUCUCUGUUCCUCUGCUUCUCUCUUCCCUUCCCUCACUCUUUCCUCUCUCUGUUCCUCCGCUUCUCUCUUCCCUUCCCUCACUCUUUCCUCUCUCUGUUCGUCCGCUUCUCUCUUCCCUUCCCUCACUCUUUCCUCUCUCUGUUCCUCCGCUUCUCUCUUCCCUUCCCUCACUCUUUCCUCUCUCUGUUCCUGCGCUUCUCUGUUCCUCCGCUUCUCUUUCCUCUCUCUGUUUCGCUUCUCUCUUCCCUUCCCUUACUCUUUCCUCUCUCUGUUCCUCUGCUUCUCUCUUCCCUUCCCUCACUCUUUCCUCUCUGUUCCUCCGCUUCUCUCUUCCCUUCCCUCACUCUUUCCUCUCUCUGUUCCUCCGCUUCUCUUUUCCCUUCCCCCACUCUUUCCUCUCUCUGUUUGUCCGCUUCUCUCUUCUCUUCCCUUCCCUCACUCUUUCCUCUCUCUGUUCGUCCGCUUCUCUCUUCCCUUCCCUCACUCUUUCCUCUCUCUGUUCGUCCGCUUCUCUCUUCCCUUCCCUCACUCUUUCCUCUCUCUGUUCCUCCGCUUCUCUCUUCCCUUCCCACUCUUUCCUCUCUCUGUUCCUGUGCUUCUCUGUUCCUCCGCUUCUCUCUUUCCUCUCUCUGUUCCUCCGCUUCUCUCUUCUCCUUUUGUUUGUUUUGCUUCCGUUGGUUGUAGGUCCCGGGCUGCGCUGCCCGUCGGUCUCUCGGGCUGCGCUGCCCGUCGGUGUCUCGGGCUGCGCUGCCCGUCGGUCUCUCGGGCUGCGCUGCCCGUCGGUCUCUCGGGCUGCGCUGCCCGUCGGUGUCUCGGGCUGCGCUGCCCGUCGGUCUCUCGGGCUGCGCUGCCCGUCGGUCUCUCGGGCUGCGCUGCCCGUCGGUCUCUCGGGCUGCGCUGCCCGUCGGUCUCUCGGGCUGCGCUGGCUGUGUCGCGCUCUUUCACUCGUUCUCUCACUAUCCUUUUGA